GGUCCUGUAGUAUAAUGGUUAUCACAUCUGCUUUACACGCAGAAGGUCUUGGGUUCAAUCCCCAGGAGAACCA